rnacentral:rRNA from 1 species
UACGUAGGGCGCAAGCGUUGUCCGGAAUUAUUGGGCGUAAAGAGCUCGUAGGCGGCCUGUCGCGUCUGCUGUGAAAUCCCGGGGCUUAACCCCGGGCGUGCAGUGGAUACGGGCUGGCUGGAGGCAGGCAGGGGAGAAUGGAAUUCCCGGUGUAGCGGUGAAAUGCGCAGAUAUUGGGAAGAACACCGGUGGCGAAGGCGGCGCUCUGGACCGAGACUGACGCUGAGGCGCGAAAGCCCAGGGGAGCGAACGGG